GGUCUGAGUUGGAUGUAUUUAUUAUAUAUAUAUGUAUAUUCUUAUUAUAUUAAGAAAUAUAGUGAUAAAUCUGGGGAUAUUACAAAAUCCCGUGAUAGGACAGAUUAUCUCGCGAGAUAGUGGUCACGUCACGCGUUCUUCCGGAAGUUCAUUCAAACACGAGGAGCGAUUACGAGGGAGUUUUGUCUAUAUAUCAUUCAAAAUCUACUGUGGGGAAAAGCAGAACCUCAUCCAAAUAAAAAUAAACAAGCUGUGAAAGGCACUGUGUCCUACACAGACCGUCCAAAAUAUAACCACCCAAAACCCAAGUCAGUUGAAGAUCAACACAAACCAAAUAAAGAUGUGCAUUUUACAAACAAUAAAAAAAGAUCAAGUUUUGUGUCCACCACACUUAGAUGAGGCGUGCCUGACUUUGUCUACCCUACAUUAAGUUGCACACUUCAUGACAGUAAACAUCGGUAUCACAAUGGUGUGAUUGAUCUAUACCCUAGGCCUAGAAUAAGCUGUGACACUAUGAGACGGUCACAUAAUGAACAGCCAUCUUACAGACAACUGAAAGAGUAUUGUCUACAAUCCCAAAUUCUGGAUGACGCCCCAGUACCAAAAGAUGCCCCAGUACCAGAGGGGACCCCAAUCCCAGAGAGCAUCCCACUGAAAGUGAGAACUUAUAUAUUUCCACCUAUCUUUCUAUAACAUUAUUUCCAUUGUUUUCACAUUUAGGUCCAGCAACUGUCUGAGCUGGUGGAUAAUCUGUCAGAGACUGCGUGAACAACGUUAUGAACAGAAUGAUGUCUAAUUGUCUUAUGGCAAAGUUCAAUAUGAGGGGUGGUGGACAUCUGGAAAAGAAGUCUUUUAAAAGCACACCUUUGUAUUAUGUUAUUCAAGAUAGAAACAUUCUUCUCUUCCUUCAGAUGCUGUGAAGAGGUGGAGCCCAAAAGCCACAGACUCGUAAAUAGAUGCAGCUAUGGCAGAUCCACCUCAAGAACGGUCCAGGAAGAGCUGGGGGUGGUGGAUACAAAAGCCAAACAGCUGUAAUGUGUUAAAGAGAGAGUUCACCAAAAAAUGAAAAUUGUUAUAAUUUUCUUAUCCACAUGUUUCAAACCUGUAUACCUUUAUAUUUUCUGCUGAACACAAAGAUUGAAGAAUAUUUGUAACUUCA